rnacentral:rRNA from 1 species
CCUCGGAUCAGGUAGGGAUACCCGCUGAACUUAAGCAUAUCAAUAAGCGG